UCUGCGGCUCAGCAUCUUCGUGAAGUGCCUAAAAAGGGCUUGAAAUAAUUCCUGGAGACGUGUUAGAUCCUGAAAGCUGAGAUAGUCUGGACUGAGCAAGCUGCAAGAGCCACCUUCACACUCAGUUCAAGAACACUUCAGUGUUUCACAAGGAGCCAGUUACACCAAAGCACUCCAAUUUCACAUCCUGGAUACAUGCAUGAGUUCUGGCUGUGGUAUGGCAGAGUUGCUCACAGACAGGCAGUUGGGUGCUGCCUCCCAGGGCCACUGAAGCAAAGCCCGCAGCAGAGGGGAUCUCCUCAGCAGCCCUUGACCACCAAAAGCUUCAGUGCUGCCUCACCCUCACAGCUCUGAAGAUGGUCUGAAAUGCUGCCUUAAAAGUAAAGACCACUGAGAUCACCUAGUCCAGCCAUCAACCCAUCCUCACCAUGCC
rnacentral:lncRNA from 1 species